GACGAACGCUGGCGGCGUGCUUAACACAUGCAAGUCGAACGGAAAGGCCUGCUUUCCCUUGUGGAUUGCGGGUACUCGAGUGGCGAACGGGUGAGUAACACGUGAGUGAUCUGCCCCCAACUUGGGUAUAAGCCUGGGAAACUGGGUCUAAUUCCCGAUAGGACUGCAGGGUGGUGCCUGUGGUGGAAAACGAUUUUCUAGUGGUUGGGGAUGAGCUCGCGGCCUAUCAGCUUGUUGGUGGGGUAAUGGCCUACCAAGGCGGCGACGGGUAGCCGGCCUGGGAGCGUGGACGGCCACAUUGGGACUGGGAUACGGCCCAGACGCGUACGGGAGGCAGCAGUGGGGACGAUUGGACAAUGGGCGGGAGGCUGAUGCAGCGACGCCGCGUGGGGGAUGACGGCCUUCGGGUGGUAAACUACUUUCGACCGAGAGGAAGGCACCUGGUUGGGAGGGUGGUGACGGUAGUGGUAGAAGAAGCACCGGCUAACUACGUG
rnacentral:rRNA from 1 species